rnacentral:rRNA from 1 species
AGGUGACGAGCGUUGUCCGGAAUUAUUGGGCGUAAAGGGAGCGCAGGCGGUUGGAAUAGUCUGAUGUGAAAGCCCACGGCUUAACCGUGGAAGGUCAUUGGAAACUGUCCAACUUGAAUGCAGAAGAGGUAAGUGGAAUUCCAUGUGUAGCGGUGAAAUGCGUAGAUAUAUGGAGGAACACCAGUGGCGAAGGCGACUUACUGGUCUGUAAUUGACGCUGAGGCUCGAAAGCGUGGGUAGCGA